GAUGAACGCUGGCGGCGUGCCUAAUACAUGCAAGUCGAGCGAACGGACGAGAAGCUUGCUUCUCUGAUGUUAGCGGCGGACGGGUGAGUAACACGUGGAUAACCUACCUAUAAGACUGGGAUAACUUCGGGAAACCGGAGCUAAUACCGGAUAAUAUUUUGAACCGCAUGGUUCAAAAGUGAAAGACGGUCUUGCUGUCACUUAUAGAUGGAUCCGCGCUGCAUUAGCUAGUUGGUAAGGUAACGGCUUACCAAGGCAACGAUGCAUAGCCGACCUGAGAGGGUGAUCGGCCACACUGGAACUGAGACACGGUCCAGACUCCUACGGGAGGCAGCAGUAGGGAAUCUUCCGCAAUGGGCGAAAGCCUGACGGAGCAACGCCGCGUGAGUGAUGAAGGUCUUCGGAUCGUAAAACUCUGUUAUUAGGGAAGAACAUAUGUGUAAGUAACUGUGCACAUCUUGACGGUACCUAAUCAGAAAGCCACGGCUAACUACGUGCCAGCAGCCGCGGUAAUACGUAGGUGGCAAGCGUUAUCCGGAAUUAUUGGGCGUAAAGCGCGCGUAGGCGGUUUUUUAGUCUGAUGUGAAAGCCCACGGCUCAACCGUGGAAGGUCAUUGGAAACUGGAAAACUUGAGUGCAGAAGAGGAAAGUGGAAUUCCAUGUGUAGCGGUGAAAUGCGCAGAGAUAUGGAGGAACACCAGUGGCGAAGGCGACUUUCUGGUCUGUAACUGACGCUGAUGUGCGAAAGCGUGGGGAUCAAACAGGAUUAGAUACCCUGGUAGUCCACGCCGUAAACGAUGAGUGCUAAGUGUUAGGGGGUUUCCGCCCCUUAGUGCUGCAGCUAACGCAUUAAGCACUCCGCCUGGGGAGUACGACCGCAAGGUUGAAACUCAAAGGAAUUGACGGGGACCCGCACAAGCGGUGGAGCAUGUGGUUUAAUUCGAAGCAACGCGAAGAACCUUACCAAAUCUUGACAUCCUUUGACAACUCUAGAGAUAGAGCCUUCCCCUUCGGGGGACAAAGUGACAGGUGGUGCAUGGUUGUCGUCAGCUCGUGUCGUGAGAUGUUGGGUUAAGUCCCGCAACGAGCGCAACCCUUAAGCUUAGUUGCCAUCAUUAAGUUGGGCACUCUAAGUUGACUGCCGGUGACAAACCGGAGGAAGGUGGGGAUGACGUCAAAUCAUCAUGCCCCUUAUGAUUUGGGCUACACACGUGCUACAAUGGACAAUACAAAGGGCAGCGAAACCGCGAGGUCAAGCAAAUCCCAUAAAGUUGUUCUCAGUUCGGAUUGUAGUCUGCAACUCGACUACAUGAAGCUGGAAUCGCUAGUAAUCGUAGAUCAGCAUGCUACGGUGAAUACGUUCCCGGGUCU
rnacentral:rRNA from 1 species